rnacentral:rRNA from 1 species
UUCGAAGCAACGCGCAGAACCUUACCAGCCUUUGACAUCCCGGUCGCGAGCACCAGAGAUGGAGCUCUUCAGUUCGGCUGGACCGGAGACAGGUGCUGCAUGGCUGUCGUCAGCUCGUGUCGUGAGAUGUUGGGUUAAGUCCCGCAACGAGCGCAACCCUCGCCCUUAGUUGCCAUCAUUUAGUUGGGCACUCUAAGGGGACUGCCGGUGAUAAGCCGGAGGAAGGUGGGGAUGACGUCAAGUCCUCAUGGCCCUUACAGGCUGGGCUACACACGUGCUACAAUGGCGGUGACAGAGGGACGCAAAGGAGUAAUCCUUCGCAAAUCUCAAAAAGCCGUCUCAGUUCGGAUUGUGCUCUGCAACUCGAGCACAUGAAGUUGGAAUCGCUAGUAAUCGCAGAUCAGCACGCUGCGGUGAAUACGUUCCCGGGCCUUGUACACACCGCCCGUCACACCAUGGGAGUUGGCUUUACCUGAAGGCGGUGCGCUAACCCGCAAGGGAGGCAGCCGACCACGGUAGGGUCAGCGAC